rnacentral:rRNA from 2 species
AACUGGCGACUGGGGUCCGCCGAACACGCGUGUGUAAUGCCUAUGAAUCUGCCUGGUAUCGGGGAACAACCUUUCAAAAGGAACGCUAUUACCGCAUUCGUUCUACGGCAGAAGGUGGGGACCUUCGGGCCUUGCGCUAUCAGAUGAGCCUAGGUCGGAUUAGCUAGUUGGUGAGGUAAUGGCUCACCAAGGCGACCAUCCGUAACUGGUCUGAGAGGAUGAUCAGUCACACUGGAACUGAAACACGGUCCAGACUCCUACGGGAGGCAGCAGUGGGGAAUAUUGGACAAUGGGCGAAAGCCUGAUCCAGCCAUGCCGCGUGUGUGAAGAAGGUCUUCGGAUUGUAAAGCACUUUAAGUUGGGAGGAAGGGUUGUAGAUUAAUACUCUGCAAUUUUGACGUUCCCGACAGAAUAAGCACCGGCUAACUCUGUGCCAUCAGCCGCGGUAAACAGAGGGUGCAAGCGUUAAUCGAAUUACUGGGCGUAAA